AGCUCCAAUAGCGUAUAUUAAAGUUGUUGCAGUUAAAAAGCUCGUAGUUGGAUUUCAAGCGUUUGGAGCGGCGGUCUCGCAAGAGCACUGCUGCACUGAUGCUUUAUUUUGUGAGAUUCCUCGCUGGCAUUAAGUUGUUGGUGGGGGUUUGUCUUGCAUCGUUUACUGUGAAAAAAUUAGAGUGUUCCACACAUGGCUAACGCCUGAAUACAUUAGCAUGGAAUAAUAAGAUACGACUCGAGUGGUCUAUUUUGUUGGUUUGCACAUUUGAGUAAUGAUUAAUAGGGACAGUAGGGGGUAUUCAUAUUUCAGCGUCAGAGGUGAAAUUCUUAGAUCGCUGAAAGAUGAGCUAAGGCGAAAGCAUUUACCAAGGAUGUUUUCAUUAAUCAAGAACGAAAGU
rnacentral:rRNA from 1 species